CAGCUGCAAGUGGCGCAACACGUGUGUCUCCAUGUAGCAACAGUUGCCAGCGAGCGGAUAACCUUGAUGUUUGAUUUUUGGCCUCCAGGCAGCUGGACAAGGCCAAAGGCCAAAAAGUGGCAUUGUUUAUGCAGGAAUUUGCCGUCCUGUGUGGUGGAGAUAAUAAAACUGGGAGCCUUAAUUAGCCCACAAGGAAGGGCGACCUUUAUGACAAUUGUA